rnacentral:rRNA from 1 species
GAUGAACGCUGGCGGUAUGCUUUACACAUGCAAGUCGUACGAGAGUUUUUAACUCAAGUGGCGGACGGGUGAGUAACACGUAAGAAUUUACCUUUAGGAGGGGGAUAACAACUGGAAACGGUUGCUAAUACCCCAUAUGCUUUCGAGUGAAAUGGAUUUCCGCCUAAAGAGAAGCUUGCGGCUGAUUAGCUUGUUGGUGAGGUAAUAGCUCACCAAGGCGACGAUCAGUAUCUGGUUUGAGAGGACGAUCAGACACACUGGAACUGAGACACGGUCCAGACUCCUGCGGGAGGCAGCAGUGGGGAAUUUUCCGCAAUGGGCGAAAGCCUGACGGAGCAAUCUCGCGUGAGGGAUGACUGCCUAUGGGUUGUAAACCUCUUUUUUCAGGGAGGAAUAAAUGACGUGUACCUGAAGAAUAAGCAUCGGCUAACUCCGUGCCAGCAGCCGCGGUAAUACGGAGGAUGCAAGUGUUAUCCGGAAUCACUGGGCGUAAAGCGUCUGUAGGUUGUUUGAUAAGUCAACUGUUAAAUCUUGAAGCUCAACUUCAAAACCGCAGUCGAAACUAUCAGACUAGAGUAUAGUAGGGGUAAAGGGAAUUUCCAGUGGAGCGGUGAAAUGCGUAGAGAUUGGAAAGAACACCGAUGGCGAAGGCACUUUACUGGGCUAUUACUGACACUCAGAGACGAAAGCUAGGGUAGCAAAUGGGAUUAGAUACCCCAGUAGUCCUAGCUGUAAACAAUGGAUACUAGAUGUUGAACAGAUCGACCUGUGCAGUAUCAAAGCUAACGCGUUAAGUAUCCCGCCUGGGAAGUAUGCUCGCAAGAGUGAAACUCAAAGGAAUUGACGGGGGCCCGCACAAGCGGUGGAGCAUGUGGUUUAAUUCGAUGCAACGCGAAGAACCUUACCAGGGUUUGACAUGAUACGAAUUUCUU